rnacentral:rRNA from 1 species
GACGAACGCUGGCGGCGUGCUUAACACAUGCAAGUCGAACGGAAAGGCCCUGCUUUUGUGGGGUGCUCGAGUGGCGAACGGGUGAGUAACACGUGAGUAACCUGCCCUUGACUUUGGGAUAACUUCAGGAAACUGGGGCUAAUACCGGAUAGGAGCUCCUGCUGCAUGGUGGGGGUUGGAAAGUUUCGGCGGUUGGGGAUGGACUCGCGGCUUAUCAGCUUGUUGGUGGGGUAGUGGCUUACCAAGGCUUUGACGGGUAGCCGGCCUGAGAGGGUGACCGGCCACAUUGGGACUGAGAUACGGACCAGACGCCUACGGGAGGCAGCAGUGGAGAAUAUUGCACAAUGAGCGGAAGCCUGAUGCAGCAACGCCGCGUGCGGGAUGACGGCCUUCGGGUUGUAAACCGCUUUCGCCUGUGACGAAGCGGGAGUGACGGUAAUGGGUAAAGAAGCACCGGCUAACUACGUG